AACUACCUCUAGAAAUUCAGCGAAAAAAAUGAAAAUUACCACCAGCCACACUCGGCCAUCCAGGCGGAUCAUGCCACCCGUUAGGGCUGCAUGUCGUGCCACACGCCGGGGCCACCUGCCACCUUGCUCACUGGUGGCCCUGUCACCUGCGCCUGCCCACUACCAUGUGCAUGGUCGCGUCACCGCCUGCUGCUUAGCUGUGAAGAGAUAAGCCUGUGAUGGGAGAGAACAUGAAGAGGGGUGAGUGUCAUCGACUUAUUCUUUUUAUGCUUUUGUUAGGGGCUUGGCUGGGGGGAUGGGUGGCGGCGUGGUGGUGGCUGUAGCUAGGGCAAGGGCAGCGGUGUGGGCGGCGGUGGCGACAUAGGAGGAGGAGGACGCACAUGAGAGUGAGACAGGGAAAGAGCUUUCGCCCAUCUAUUAUUUGAUUUGUUUGGUCAC
rnacentral:lncRNA from 1 species